AUUGAACGCUGGCGGCAGGCCUAACACAUGCAAGUCGAGCGGCAGCGGGAAAGUAGCUUGCUACUUUUGCCGGCGAGCGGCGGACGGGUGAGUAAUGCCUGGGAAAUUGCCCAGUCGAGGGGGAUAACAGUUGGAAACGACUGCUAAUACCGCAUACGCCCUACGGGGGAAAGCAGGGGACCUUCGGGCCUUGCACGAUUGGAUAUGCCCAGGUGGGAUUAGCUAGUUGGUGAGGUAAUGGCUCACCAAGGCGACGAUCCCUAGCUGGUCUGAGAGGAUGAUCAGCCACACUGGAACUGAGACACGGUACAGACUCCUACGGGAGGCAGCAGUGGGGAAUAUUGCACAAUGGGGGAAACCCUGAUGCAGCCAUGCCGCGUGUGUGAAGAAGGCCUUCGGGUUGUAAAGCACUUUCAGCGAGGAGGAAAGGUUGAUGCCUAAUACGUAUCAACUGUGACGUUACUCGCAGAAGAAGCACCGGCUAACUCCGUGCCAGCCGCCGCAGUAA
rnacentral:rRNA from 1 species